CUAAAUGUGUGCUGGCCAAAUUCAAUCAAGAUUAGCUAAGAACGUUUCAUAAUUACAAUGUCACUGGACUGAUCCCAAUAGGAAUUACCGACCUGUUCAUCGUACUUCAAGUUAUUUAAUCAUGUUUGAACAUUUAGCUGGAUUGGCAAUUUAUUAAUUUAGGUGACUCAGCAAAACAGAUUUUAUUUUUUUACAUGUUAAGAUGUAUGAAAUUGCAUCUCCAUAAAGCAUCACUUGUUUCUUUUUUUAAUGAUAAUCUGGGUGAUCAAAAUGUGACAACGCCUGAUUUAAAGCUCCAUGAAUUAUGCCAAAAAUGUGACCCGUUGAGUUACUCCAGCAUUUUGCGUCCACCUUUGAUGUAGACUCAUUCUUUCUCUCGUUAAAUAUUGUGCAAUGUUUCUACCUGUAGUUUAAGGAUAUGCAGAGGUUUAGUGAAAGCGACAUCGCCAUUAUAUUGUGCACUGGUGAAAGUUCUUCCAUUUUAUAUCCAGGGCUGCAGAAGGGAGAGGGUGUGAAGAUGGAGUAACAAUAUAAAAGAUGCUGCCAGACCUACUGAGUUCCUCCAGCAGUCUGUUUUUUGCUGAAGAUUCCAACAUCUGCAGUCUCUUGUGUCUCCUUUUAAAGAAGCUACUGCAUACCGAGUUUGCGACAAAUAUAUUUCCCUGUAAGGCACAAAACUCCAACAGAGACGAUCAGCAGAGGAGACUUUCUGGAAGUUUGCAAUCUGAACCAACCACUCUUUAGGUCAGAGAAGACACAAAGUGCUGGAGUAACUCAGUGGUUCAGGCAGCAUCACCCCAGAACAGCGAUCGGUUCCUAAAGAUCAAAUUCUUGUAUUUGUUUGGCUCCUUCUUCUUCCUUUUUGGACAUUGCAUAUCAUGAUGGUGUAUCUUUCAAGAGUAAAUACUGUUUUGAUGUAGGAAGCACAGCAGCCAGCUUACAUGAAUAGCAACCACAAUCUGUUUCAACCCUUGAGUGAAGAAUACAUUUUGACCAGAAAAAUGUGGAAAUAGAUCCACAGAAAGUUUUUUUUUGUGUCAUCUCCAGAGGACAGACAGGCUCAAAAGUUUAACGUUGCACCCGAGAGGCACCCGGGUAGUCAGUCUGCCCUAUGACUGAAGGGUGAGGAGUUUGUUAGUUUGAUAGCCACAGGGAAGACGGAUCUCCGGUGGUGUUCUGUCCUGCAUCUUGGUGGAACCAGUCUGUUGCUGAAGGUACUCCUCAGGUUGACCAGCGUGUCUUGGAGGGGGUGAGCUGUAUUGUCCAGGAUGAUCCGCAGUUUGAGGAACAUCCUUCCCUCCAAGAGCACCUCCCAUGAAUCCAUGGGAAUACAUGCUCCACUCUUAUUGUUUGCCUCAAAUAUUGGCCGAGGCCAAUGGUCAUAACUAUAAAACUCUAGGCUCUCAUAUAGGAAAGCUGAUUUGAUACACUUGAGUGUCCUAAGUUUUAGACCCCUAUCACUAUAAUGUGUUCUGUGUAUUAGUUCAGGGACUAUGGGAUAACUAUUGAGAACACAAAUGUUAGACAUCUCUCCUCCUGUCGAGAGCAUCUUCUGGUUUUGAUUUACCUCUCUACACCAUUUUAUAACGAUGAUUACAGUUACCGUUUGCUGUUGGAACAUCUGAAUAGAGAUGUGAAUGCUGGCUGGAGAAUAUCUGACUUCCGUGCCACAGAUCUGAUUUUGUCCGGCUGUAAAGGGAUAUGUCCAUGAACUCUAACCUCCUCUUCAUUAAGGAGAAUUGCAAGGAAGUAGGAAAGCAAUGUGUGAAGAAUAGGUAAGCACACAAAAGUUGAGCAAGGUUUAUAGCCAGGAUUUUGUUUUGUUGAGUUUGUGACAAAAUUGCUGUGAAAAGCUCUGUGUAAGCAUUUUCAAUUAUUAUACUGAUGAUGUGGAUGACUAUCACUGCCCAUCAGGUCAAAUAUAUUUUAUUUCAUGAUAUCUGUUGGUUAUUGAAGCGAACUGUUAAAAAUAAAAUCCACCGCGCCUUUGUUAAAUUACUUGCGGGUUUUACAUUGCUCAUAGAUGGGUCGAAUUUCAAAAACAGGUCUUUUUAAGAAAUCUGUUUUCUUAUUUCGUUAGUUGACCUGUAAUGUUUUAAUAAAACUCUCCAGCAGCCAUCGUGGAAAAAAUUGUUCAAAAUCUUUUGUUCUGUGAAAUUGAUAACUCCUGUCUGACUACCUCAAUGUCCAGAUUCUGUCUUACAUCUAUAAUUUACCCACGAUACACCUCACCAGUCAAGGAUGUCAUUUUUUUUCAUAGCAGAAAAUGAAAUCCAGUUUUAGCUCACUGUGGGAUCGGCAACUGAAUCCUACAGGAGUAAAUUGGUAUCAGAAGUCUUCAGAUUUAAAAUCUCCAUAUACCAUUAUUUUCUUACUGCAUUAUCUCCCAGUAUCCUGGAGCUAUCAGUUACCUGACCACCAUUUAAUUCACCCUGUCAUGAUGAGAGCACUGUUCAAAGAGAAACCCACUUCAUGUUAUUCCUUACAGUAAAUCUGUGCAGUCCAUUUUUUCAAUAGCCUUUUCCAGGGUAUCAUAGUUAAGACAGAUUGCACCAGUUGGCAGAUGAUUUCGGAGAAAUCUUUCUGGAUUUUAAAAAGCAAAUUAAAAGCCAAUAUCUACUUACAUGAAAACUCAGCAUUUAUCUUUUCUUAUCUCUAACUCUGAAUGGCUUUGCUGCAUCACAUUUGAAAUGAUAUUUUUAAAUGUUUUUGAAUUAGCUUUGACUGUUAUUUGCAAUAUUUUGUUUGCUUCUAUAUUAUGAUUACUCUGAUGCCUAAAAGUAGUCAUUCUUUUUAGGCAGGUUAUUUUUCAUCUUCCCCGUUUCAAUGUACUUACCUUAUUAUCUGGUCCCCAACUUUAAGAGAAGUGAUCGGUACACAAAGCUCUACUUUGUCGAGGAAUAGAUCACUACGAGAUGCAGAAAAGCAAUCCCGGAAUACCCGACCUCCUACAUUCUAUUACUAUUAGAGAAUGAAUAGCUUUUCUUUGUACCAUCACUGGUAGCCUGGUUAAAAUUGAAACUGGUUACAUAUCACCACCAGAGAUACCGAUCAUCACUGCCUGGUUGGGCUGCUGACGCCACCCCUGGCCACACCUGCCACUUCUGCCACUGUAUGUCCGGCCACACCUGUGGCUAUCAUUCCCUGCCACUCCCAUUACCACCACCACCAUC